CAGAGAAAUAUGGAAACUAUUCUAUUUAUACAUGAAAAUUGUGUAGUAACUUUGACUCUCAAAUAUGUGAACAUUAUCAGAAGGCUAAAGAAGUUUUAUGAGAACUUUAAAACUUUCAAAAGAACUAUAGAAGAAAACACUUUUAAAAAUCAGGGCAACAAACAGUAUUGUAGCACAACUGUAAUGCUAAAUUAGACUAAACGUUGCCCAAUACUCUUUGGUUUCAUAAAGCAAGAAGUUCAAAUGUGGGACAAACUAAUGAGUUGCUCCCAUGUGGUAUUUUAAGGGAUGUAGAGACAAAACCCAUCUUUGCACAGCCCUCACAGACCCUCAGCCCCUGAGGCGACGGAUAAAGUAAAAAAAAAAAACCUACACAUCCCUAAGGUCUUCCGGCCGCCUCUCUCCCUUUCCCCACCCGCCCUAGCUUGAAGGACUUCUGUGUUAAAGGAAACCCCGGAUUACCCCAUCGAGACAUUGCCCACAGGUUGUCCCUCCUCCCCGCGCGGUGCUCGCUUGUUGCUGUAGUUCCGGAAGAUUUUCUCCCGCGCUCGAAUCCUCUCUCCGGAGCACACAGCAAAACUCGAGGGAAUGUUUUGCCUAGAAAAAUGCCAAAUCCAGCUGUUUGGAGGAUCAUACCUGGACACAGGAGGUGAAACAAGAUGAUCUUUAAGUUCCCUUCCAACCCAAACCUUCCAUGAUUCUAUAUGACCAGAGUUCUGUUCCUAAAGCAGACAAGGAGCUGAGUGUAACCCCCAGGUGUGUGCACAGGG